CUGUGUCAGUAGCUGGGACUGUUUUAGACAGAGAAGGAUCUGUAGCAGUGGCUGUGUGUGUGGCUUUGUGUUUAUUCCUGACUUAGCAUCUGUAAGGUGAUAGACUCUGGAAAGAGCAGUCUUCAGUAUGUGUAAAAGAGUCAAGGCUUGUUGGAUGAGGCUGCCUUUACAUGCAGCAGAACUCCUUUGAGUCCUGGGUAAGAAGGAAACAGAAGCUGCUGUCUUACCAGUGUGUGCCAUGUAACCCAACAAUCUACGUGUGAUUUUACCUGCAGAGGUUCUUAGAGGCAGAUUAGCAAAGUACAGGGAGACGAACAUCAAAAGGAAGUUCAGUCUCAGAAAAGUUACAGACAGGAAUGUAUAGGACCAGAGUGCAGACAACUACUGACCCAAUGAAGUCACCUGGAAUUGCUUCACUGCUUACGUGUACUGAGAACUAUACUGCUGUGUGCACCGUGACCCAAGAGUGACAAGGAUGUGAAUCCUGUGCAUAGCUGACCUCACGUGGGCUGACUCAGUCUCUCAAACCUCAGACCUCAUUGCAGAGAACAAUCAUAUCUAUGAAGGCACCAGAGGAGCAGUGGCAGGUGGUUGCAGACUCCGCGUGGUGCGCGAUAGAGCAUUCACUGGAAAGCUGUGAAGUGACAGCAUGAGACUGCAGGUGAAAUGGCAACUUCACUCCUCGGGCUAAACGUACACUGGGACACCCAAGUGGGAACCUGUUUUGGCAUGCGGGGAAGAAAACCGGGCUUUAGAAGAGCAGUUCAGACAGGAAGCAGCAAUAUUCCAGGAAGAUUUCCGAGUCGAACAGGAGAGGAACUGGCUUCUUGAAGAGCGUAUUGCAGAGAUUCCCUAAAACAUUCAGCUGCACAGCUGGAGCAGGCUCGUGGUUGCUCUGGGAUCUUGUACGCUGAGCUGAGAUGGCUGAAGAACCAAAGUGGCUCAUGGAGUUGAGGAUGGUAGCCUGCAGCGAUGAUGGCAGCAAGGACUGUUCUCUCAGCAGCAGAAGGAAAACCUGAACUGGGCUGAGAGAGG
ensembl:lncRNA